CAGAAUUACUUCAUCAAGGGACUGACCAAAGGAGACGGCCACGACUUCCCACAGGCCUGGAUCGGUGGCUUUGAUGCCAUAUAUCCGGGUUAUUGGAUGUGGAGCGACGGCUCUAAGUUCAACUACGACAACUGGUACCACGAUGACUACAGCGCCCACGACGGCUACCACUGCCUGAAGAUGAACUAUCACCUCAAGUUGGAGUGGUACCCUGACUACUGCAACAGCACUCUGGGGUUUGUUUGCUGCAAGCAGAUAUGAAGCCAGACGGACAAUGUGAAAAGCUGACCACAAGGUGGAGCUGUGUGCCAAAGUACCAACCACCCAACACAAAGGCUUCCUUUCUUCCUCAGCUUUUAGGGGUUGGCUUCAAAGUUAGGGUUAGGCUUUGAAUCUGGCCAGUCCACCUGCCUAGAACUCUCCAUGUGAACUCGCUGUGGCUUCUUUUUUCUAAUGAUCAUCUCUUUUUCUUUGCAUUGAAAAAGUACAAUCAAGCAUGCUGCAAGAAGUGUAAUUAUAAUAGCAGUAAAACUAGGCAAUAAAAAAAU
ensembl:lncRNA